UAAACCAGGAUUAGAUACCCUAUUAUGCCUAGCCCUAAACAUUGAUAAUAACCUACUUAUUUUAUCCGCCCGGGUACUACGAGCGUCAGCUUGAAACCCAAAGGACUUGGCGGUGCUUUAGAUCCACCUAGAGGAGCCUGUUCUAGAACCGAUAAUCCCCGUUAAACCUCACCUUUCCUUGUCAUUUCCGCCUAUAUACCGCCGUCGUCAGCUUACUCUGUGAAGAGCCUGUAGUAAGCACAACUGGUAAAGCCUAAAACGCCAGGUCGCAGGUGUAGCGAAUGGAAAGGGAAGAAAUGGGCUACAUUCAAUAUUUAUAUAUAUGAACGACGAGAUGAUAUUCUAUGAAAGAGAUAUACUGUAAGGCAGGGAUUUAGCAGUAAGUAGUAGAAUUAGAAGCGAUACUUNCUUNAAUCCGAGCCCUAAGCGC
rnacentral:rRNA from 1 species